CGGGAAUAUUGGACAAUGGGGGCAACCCUGAUCCAGCAAUACCGCGUGUGUGAAGAAGGCCUGCGGGUUGUAAAGCACUUUUAGUGGGGAAGAUAAUGACGUUACCCACAGAAAAAGCACCGGCUAACUCCGUGCCAGCAGCCGCGGUAAUACGGAGGGUGCAAGCGUUAAUCGGAAUUACUGGGCGUAAAGCGUGCGUAGGCGGCUCUUUAAGUCGGAUGUGAAAUCCCCGGGCUCAACCUGGGAACUGCAUCCGAUACUGGGGAGCUAGAAUGUGGGAGAGGGAAGUGGAAUUUCCGGUGUAGCGGUGAAAUGCAUAGAGAUCGGAAGGAACAUCAGUGGCGAAGGCGACUUCCUGGACCAACAUUGACGCUGAGGCACGAAAGCGUGGGUAGCAAAC
rnacentral:rRNA from 1 species